rnacentral:rRNA from 1 species
UACGUAGGCAGCGAGCGUUGUUCGGAAUUACUGGGCGUAAAGAGUGUGUAGGCGGUGCCCUAAGUUCGGUGUGAAAUCUUCCGGCUUAACUGGGAGGGUGCGCCGGAAACUGGAGUGCUCGAGCGUGGGAGAGGAAAGCGGAAUUCCUGGUGUAGCGGUGAAAUGCGUAGAUAUCAGGAGGAACACCUGCGGUGUAGACGGCUUUCUGGACCAUUGCUGACGCUGAGACACGAAAGCGUGGGUAGCAAACAGG